rnacentral:rRNA from 1 species
UACAGAGGUCUCAAGCGUUGUUCGGAUUCAUUGGGCGUAAAGGGUGCGUAGGCGGCGCGGUAAGUCGGGUGUGAAAUCUCGGAGCUUAACUCCGAAACUGCAUUCGAUACUGCGGUGCUUGAGGACUGGAGAGGAGACUGGAAUUCAUGGUGUAGCAGUGAAAUGCGUAGAGAUCAUGAGGAAGACCAGUGGCGAAGGCGGGUCUCUGGACCGAUAUUGACGCUGAGGAGCGAAAAGCGUGGGGAGCGAACAGG